GUGUGGGGCGAGGGAUGUGUAAAUUUAUGUACGUGCACACAUGUACGCUUGUGUAAAUUUAUGCUUUUAAGUUAAGCCAUUGACAUAUGGAUAUGGAGCCAACUUAAUUUCCUAUGAUUCAUGUGAACUGAAAACUGCAAUUUGUUAAUCAAGUAUUGAUGAUGGUUACUAAAUGACAGGUACAUUUGUCCAGAUCAUGUAAAUCCUUCUGAAUUACAGUACAUACACUAGUCUCGUACGCUUUCAUACUGUAUAGCUUUCCACAGAAUCAGUGUACAGGUUAUAAAAUCAAUUUACAGUACAUACAGUAGGUUAUAGCUUGCACUAAACUCAGCUGUACAGGUUAUAAAAUCAGUUUACAGUACAUACAGUAGGUUAUAGCUUGAACUAAACUCAGUUGUACAGGUUAUAGAAUCAGUGUACAUGUUAUAGAAGUAGUUUACAGUACAUACAGUAGGUUAUAGCUUGAACUAAACUCAACUGCUGCAAUAUGCUAUUAUCAAUUACUCUUAUCACAAUUUAUCUAGAGAAGUAAAGAAAAUAAGAACAACCAUGUAUAUUAGAUCAAAAUCAGUGUACAGAUUAUAGAAUCAGUUUACAAUACAUAUAAUCUAAACUCAGCUGCUGCAAUCUGCUAUUAUCAAUUACUCUUAUUACAACUUAUCAAGAGAAGUAAAUAAAAUAAGAACGACAAAGUAUAUUAGAUCAGAAUCAGUGUCCAGGUUAAAGUAACACAGCCCCAGGAACUUUAAUACAACAACAACAACAAACCCAAUGUAGUCCCAUAAGUGGGGUCUUGGAUACAGUGCUGGAAAUUCUGGAAAGAGUUAAUACAGUGCUGGAAAUUUUGGAAAGAUUUACAGGACCCCUCUUUGGAUUUUUCUCCUGCUGCUACUGUUCUUUGGCCUGAAGUGGACUUGGAGUUGGCAUUGAUCUACUAAUAGGGAUGGCAAUGGGGCAGGUCAAGGGUGGGGCAGGGCGGGGCAAUACUUAAAUGGGGCGGGGCAGGGAAGGGAAGUGAGAACAACACUUGCAUUUUGGGUGAAAGAGAUUAUAAGUCAUAAAGUAAUUGAAAGAAUGGAACACACUUACAUUGAACUUGCACUACAAAGGCUUCUCCCAAAUCCUAACAUAUGAAUUUUAGGAAAUGUAACAGCCAAGAGACAAGCUGUUCUUUCUUUUCUCAUAUAUACCACAACUUACUCUUCAUCAUAUGAUAGCAAUGGUGAGGAAAGCACAUUUUACUUAUGGGGAGAAGCAGGGAAUUACAAAAGAGAUAAAUGGGGUAGAUCAGGGCAUGGCUUAGUGGGGUAGGGGAGGGGAAGAAUCCCCAGUGGUUGAUUCUUCAUGAAUCUUCUCUGAGCUUGCUCGAAUUUGCAAACGCGAUUGAGGCAGAUUGUUGUUUAAUAUUGCUGGUAUCAGUAUUGCACAACUUAUGGCCUUGGUCCGGUGGCCCGUCAAGUUUAUGGCAGAUUGUUGUUAAAUAUUGCUGGUAUCAGUAUUUGCCGGUAUAUAUGUAUUGCGCAGCUGCUGCGAUCAAGAAUUUGUUCUUCGGAGACUUAGGUGCAAAUAUUUUUUUCUUUUUGUCUUCUAAUUCUCUGUUGAUACCAUGACAUUUUGGCACAAAAUUUGUUCCUUUAUACAUCAAAGUAAUUGGCAUUUUGUGAUGAAAUUCUUGAAUCUGUUUAGCACAAACUAAAGAUGCAUCAACUCUACAAUACCUUCCAGUUACUAAAGAUGCACAAACUCUACAAUACAUCACAGAAGUAAGUCAAAGAACUCCUUUAAUUUCCAUAAAACUUUUAGUCCAUCUUGGUGGUAAAAGCUUAUGGGUGGAUUGUGACAACGGUUUCAAAAGUUCAACUUACAAACCUGGUGUAUGUAAUUCCACACAAUGCACUUAUUCCAAUCCUAAUCACUGUGGUGACUGCAUAUUGAAACCAAAAUUGUAGCCUGGAUGCAACAACAAUAGUAGUUACAUUUGGGGUGAAAAUCCCUUGAUUGAUUGGUUUGAUGAUAGCGCUGAAAUUGCUGAUGAUGUAUUUGUUAUUGGUUCUACUCCUGGUGUUCGUGUAACUUUGCCACGGUUCAUUUUUGCUUGAAUCUGUUUAUUCCUGUUGCUUCAACAGACUGGCAGUGGUAGAAAAUUGCAGUACAAUGCAAUAUACAGCUGAUCAAACCAAGUGAUACCGAGAGGCCAUUUUUAUGGACAACAACAAGAAGCCUUUCAUGUUUACCAUAUGGGACGAUCUAACGGACAAUGAAGGGGUUGUACUACUACAACUGUUGCACGAGCACACUGUUAUUCUUGCAAAACGAGUAGUUGUUACAGCAUACCGUCGCGGGCAAAAGACAACGAACAAAUGCUCUUCGCUUAUACUUUGAGAAGCUCAUUUGAAUCAUUUUCAUCCCUCAAUCUUGCAUCUGUUGACAAUGAAACAAUAUCUAUCUCGGUCAUUCCUUCAUUGUCGUCUAGAGUGAGUUUAAAAUAUGACUUUCACUUUCUUUGUCAAUACUGACCAACUUCUCCAUAGUGAGAUUUCUCCACUAAAAAAACGCUAAUAUCUCUUUUGAGUUGUGAUCUGGCAACAAUAGACAUGGAAACAUUGGUUGAAAAAAUAUUAGCGAUGAGAGCUGAACAAGUGUAUGAAACAGUCGUUGUCCAGGUACUUCGUAUUAUCUCUUUCGAGUUGUGAUCUGCAUAAGUGUUUGUUCUAUACUGACAAAUGAAUCUGCCUUUUUCUUUGCUGAUUGUGACCUCUGUGAGAUUCAUUUUUCUUUAAGUUUUGAUAGAAUGAAAUUUUGCAUUUUAAUGUGGAUCAGUAGCCUAUAUGUUGUCUUGGGAAGGCACUGCCUUCAAGAUGAAUUAGCUUUGCAAGUGAUUCUUUAUUUCUUUUAGAUGUCUCUUGUCUUUAAAAUGUUGAAAUUUAUAAAGAGUUGUCUUCCAGCAGUCCAUUUAUGCCUAAGGGAAAUUACACCAGCAUUCCAUUUUGUUACUCGCUGUUUUUAUAACAGUACCACUACAUUGGGAAGGGAUUGGGAAGGUAUUGUUAAAAGUGACUAGUCUUGAGCAUAUUAAAUACAUGAUUUAUUUCACUAACUUAUUUUUAUUUUGAAUGUACUGGAAAAUGCCAGUAAUUGAAUUUGAAUACUGGCCAGAAGUAAACUCGAUCUAUUGUAGUGAACGAUGAAGAGUUUUUGUACUAUUGUCAUGUAUGUUUGAAUGCAUUUGGGUUUUGUGGAAUUUAUUGAUAGUAGAGAUCUUUAAGCAAUUGAUUUUUAAGUAUCGGUUGUACAAGACAUGUUUCCCGAAAUUUAUUUGAAAUAUAUUCCUUCGAUUUAU